GCUGGAGACUUAGGCAGAGGCUGGAUCAUGCAAGAUCGUGUGGAGAGUUCUGCCUCCAGCCUAAGAACACCAGGGGCACCGAGGAGCUUUAAGAGGGAGGAGGGAAUACAGCCAGAUUUACAUUUUGAAGAGAUCACUCUGGCUGCAGGAAAGAGAAUGGACUUGGCGGGGCCAGAGUGCGGAGUCCCUUCCCUGGGAGGGUGGAGCUAGGCUUGAGACAGAAAGCAUUUUAGUCUCUUCCUGGGGGGCAUAAAACUCGAAAGCUGUUGCUGGCUGCUUUCUGCCACAGGAUGCUGGAAACAGUGACAGACAGUCUGCUAAGAACAGAAUGAAUCAGACACACAGGAAGUAACUGGAAGAGAGACAGCGUGUUUGGGGUGGGGACAAGCAUGGGAUGGGGGGUGGUCUGCACAUUUCAGCCCCUGGUUCCAGCCCUUCCUGAAGCUCAUCUGCAGCUCUGCCUUGAUUUCUUUGGGACGGCUUUGUAUCCCUAUGAGGAGCUCCUUGAGGUGGUUUAUGUCCCUGGCAACCCAGAGAGUCCUGGAUAACGCACCUGAAUUGAGGCUUUCAAAAGGGCAAGAAGCAGGACACCAGGAAGAGAUUAUCCAGAUAGCUCAUUUCAUCCAAUACUGUCAUGAGAGUCACUUGGUUCUGCUGAAUACACGUAGACCCUCGAGCUUCAGCACAGCCACACCAGGUCAUUCCCACUCUGUACGCUGAAGUGGAGGGAACUUCCAGUGGUGGGGGAUUGAGGAACCACAUGGCAGAUAUGCCUCAAUGUGGUGCCAGCUGGAAGCACAGUUGGCUUUCAAGGCCAGCAGCUGGGACUGUCCACCUAGCCCCAGGCACAGCUGUUUAUGGUUUCUCCUCACGUUGGCAGUUUGAGUUUGAUUUACAAGGGUCUAAGAGGAAACUGAAUCUUUUCAAAAGGAAAACAACUUUGCAGAAGCUGCCUGUUUUCCAAGGAACCACUUUUGACGAUGUUUUGCUCCUCUUGGUUACAGGUAACAAGAGGAUUCAGAAUCUGAGAGAUACUGCUUAAAAGGAAAAUGUCCUGGAGGGAUGCCAAACUGCACUCUCAAAGGUUUCGGCUGGAUGUGUGAUAUUGAUGGGGAAACCCAUUUCAGUGUCUCUAAGAAGGGGGUAGUGCUCCUCUUUCCAGGAUGUCUCUGGGGAAUCUAGAGCACCCCAAAGUGUGGUAUGCAUAGAAACAUUGCUGCUUAAGGUCUGAAUAUUUGUUCCUCAUCAAUUCAUGUGUUGAAAUUCUAACCUCUCCUGAAUGGGAUUAGUGCUCUUACACGAGAGGCCUGACAGAGACUCCUCACCCUUCCCACCAUGCGAAGACACAGUGAGAAGGCUCAGUCUAUGAACCAAAAUGUUGACUGUCACCAUUUACUCAAUCUGCUGUCGCCUUGAGCUUGGACUUCCCAGCCUCCAGAACUGUGAGAAAUAAAUUUCUGUUGCUUAUAAGACAACCAGUUUAUGACAUUUCGUUAUAGCAGCCUGAAUGGACUAAGACACCCUUCCCACCAUGUGAAGACAGAGUGAGAAGGUUCGGUCUAUGAACCAAAAACUGACCCUCACCAGUCAUUGAAUCUGCUGGUGCCUUGAUCUUGGACUUCCCAGCCUCCAGAACUGUGAGAAAUAAAUUUCUGUCGUUUAUAAGCCACCUAGUUUAUGAUACUUUGUUAUAGCAGCCUGAAUGGACUGAGACACCCACCUUAAAAAGACAGUACCUCAAAACCAUAAGGCAGGAUAACUGCUAGCCUGAUAUUAAUAGUUUUUAAUUUACUGCUAGCUUCAUUUUGCCAACUGAGUCAGAUAUUUUUUAAAAGUUCUGUUUGCAAUUAUUUUAACUUAGGAGAGGAGAAAAAGAGCAGGCAUCAGCCUGCAUAUGGGAUAUUUCUGAAAGGAUUUUGCUAUGAUUAGCUUGCCCUCAGGGAGAGUAAAAUGUGAGUUAUACAACCAUGCUUAUAUUUAGAUGUUGUUGAUGUUCUGGCUUAUAAUAUAUGAUGAGUUAGAAAUAAUUUUGUACUGAUCAGCCCAACCAGAAAAUAAACAUGCUUUAACUUGUAUUUAUUACUAAACUUGGUCUCCUAAAACAUGAUAAAGCAGUUGAGUCUAUAAUGACUGAGCCAUAGCUUCUCUGACUGACUCUAAGAGGGAAUGACGUUAAUAAGAGAUUAGCCCAUACCUCUAAUAGCCCUGGGAGAGAUGAACCCAAGACGGCAAGGCCCAGCUCUGAUGGAUGAAGGGACAGAGAACUAUAAGAAGACUGGGUUCCAUCUAGGAUGGGUGGCCUGUUGAGUGCCCAUCUUAUCUGCUUAGAUGAUGAUACUUGGAGACCUGACUCAAUUGUUGUGAAUGGUCUUUGUAAAAUUUUAUUUUAGAGACAGGGUCUUGCUAUGUUGCCCAGGCUGGUCUCAAACACCUGGGCUCAAGUGAUCCUCCUGCCUCAGCCUCCUGAGUAGCUGGAACUGCAAGUGAUUACUCUUAUUGAACAAACAAACAAAAACAAGUGCCUGUGACCUAAUAGAGAUGCAUGCAUAUGUUCACCAAAAGAUCUAGAAUGUCCACAACAGCCCUAUUUAUCAUCACCCCAAAUGGGGCACCCUGCACCUACCUCAACAGUAGAUGCAUACAUUUCUGUGUAUUUACACUGUGGAAUAUGACACAGCAAUGACAAUGAAUGAACUACAGCUAUACACAACAACAUGGAUGGCUAUCACAAACAUAAGGUAGAGCUAAAAGCGAAAAAAACCAGCAUAAAAGUGGGCAAAAGCCAUCUAUGUUGUUAAAAAUCAGGAUAGUGGCUGCCCUGGAAGGGGGCAUGAGGAGGCUUCAAGGUGCUUGUCAUGUUCUCUUUCUUCACU
rnacentral:lncRNA from 10 species